rnacentral:rRNA from 1 species
GAUGAACGCUGGCGGCGUGCCUAAUACAUGCAAGUCGAGCGAACGGACGAGAAGCUUGCUUUUCUGAUGUUAGCGGCGGACGGGUGAGUAACACGUGGAUAACCUACCUAUAAGACUGGGAUAACUUCGGGAAACCGGAGCUAAUACCGGAUAAUAUUUUGAACCGCAUGGUUCAAAAGUGAAAGACGGUCUUGCUGUCACUUAUAGAUGGAUCCGCGCUGCAUUAGCUAGUUGGUAAGGUAACGGCUUACCAAGGCAACGAUGCAUAGCCGACCUGAGAGGGUGAUCGGCCACACUGGAACUGAGACACGGUCCAGACUCCUACGGGAGGCAGCAGUAGGGAAUCUUCCGCAAUGGGCGAAAGCCUGACGGAGCAACGCCGCGUGAGUGAUGAAGGUCUUCGGAUCGUAAAACUCUGUUAUUAGGGAAGAACAUAUGUGUAAGUAACUGUGCACAUCUUGACGGUACCUAAUCAGAAAGCCACGGCUAACUACGUGCCAGCAGCCGCGGUAAUACGUAGGUGGCAAGCGUUAUCCGGAAUUAUUGGGCGUAAAGCGCGCGUAGGCGGUUUUUUAAGUCUGAUGUGAAAGCCCACGGCUCAACCGUGGAGGGUCAUUGGAAACUGGAAAACUUGAGUGCAGAAGAGGAAAGUGGAAUUCCAUGUGUAGCGGUGAAAUGCGCAGAGAUAUGGAGGAACACCAGUGGCGAAGGCGACUUUCUGGUCUGUAACUGACGCUGAUGUGCGAAAGCGUGGGGAUCAAACAGGAUUAGAUACCCUGGUAGUCCACGCCGUAAACGAUGAGUGCUAAGUGUUAGGGGGUUUCCGCCCCUUAGUGCUGCAGCUAACGCAUUAAGCACUCCGCCUGGGGAGUACGACCGCAAGGUUGAGACUCAAAGGAAUUGACGGGGACCCGCACAAGCGGUGGAGCAUGUGGUUUAAUUCGAAGCAACGCGAAGAACCUUACCAAAUCUUGACAUCCUUUGACAACUCUAGAGAUAGAGCCUUCCCCUUCGGGGGACAAAGUGACAGGUGGUGCAUGGUUGUCGUCAGCUCGUGUCGUGAGAUGUUGGGUUAAGUCCCGCAACGAGCGCAACCCUUAAGCUUAGUUGCCAUCAUUAAGUUGGGCACUCUAAGUUGACUGCCGGUGACAAACCGGAGGAAGGUGGGGAUGACGUCAAAUCAUCAUGCCCCUUAUGAUUUGGGCUACACACGUGCUACAAUGGACAAUACAAAGGGCAGCGAAACCGCGAGGUCAAGCAAAUCCCAUAAAGUUGUUCUCAGUUCGGAUUGUAGUCUGCAACUCGACUACAUGAAGCUGGAAUCGCUAGUAAUCGUAGAUCAGCAUGCUACGGUGAAUACGUUCCCGGGUCU